rnacentral:misc_RNA from 1 species
GCCAUUGAUGCACUGAGAUCAAAGCUCAAAGCUUUCUCUUGAAGAUGUAACAAUAUUAUAGUAGCUGAAGAUCAAACCCUGUAACAACAAAUCCUAAAAUACCCAUCAUGUCCCUAUCACUUUCUUCUUACCCCACGCGCUUCGCCAUCCUCACGCUCCUCUCCGCCACCACAGUCUUCUUCUUCUACAAAUCACGCCGUCAUCUAUCCAAACGCCUCAAAUCCUUAAAACCCAUUUCCCAUAACCCUAUUUCUAAAACCCCAAGAGGCAAAAUCUUCUUUAUAUCCCAAACAGGCACUUCUAAAACCCUAGCAAAGAGUCUUCAUAGUUUGUUAAACCUUAACGGGUUUGAAUUCGAUCUAGUUGACCCGAAAGAGUAUGAGCCUGAGGAUUUGCAUAAAGAAAGCUUUGUAGUUAUUGUAGCUUCUACGUGGGAAGACGGGAAACCACCUCCAAAUGCGGGGUUUUUUGUUGAUUGGUUAACUGAGAGUGCUGAUGAUUUCAGGGUUGGAUCUUUGUUGCUUAGCAAGUGUAAAUUUGCAAUCUUUGGAGUUGGGAGUGGGUCUUAUGGUGAAACAUUUAAUGCUGUGGGUCGUGAUUUUUCGAAGAAGUUGAAGAAACUUGGUGGGGUUGAGGUUUUAGAGGUGUGUGAAGGUGAUGUAGAUGAGGGUAGUUUGAAUGAGGUUUUUGGUAAGUGGAGCAAGAGGAUUGUUGGGAUUUUGAGUAAUUUGGGCGAGAAUGGAGGGGAUAUGAGGAAUGGAGUUGGUGGUGGUAGUGAAGAUGAAGCUGUGAGUGAGGGAGAUGAUGAUGGGGAAUAUGAUGACGAGUUUGAAGAAAAUGAUGAGGAGUCAGGAAUUGUUGAUCUUGAGGAUAUUGCGGGUAAAGGACCUUCAAGAAAGAAAGGAGUUAACGAUAAGUUCGUUAAUGGGAAGUCGAAUGGUGGAACUGUGAAUGGAGAGAAGGCAAUGGUAACUCCAGUUAUUAGAGCGAGUUUGGAGAAACAGGGAUAUAAAAUAAUUGGCACGCAUAGCGGUGUGAAACUUUGUAGAUGGACAAAAUCACAACUUAGAGGGCGCGGAGGUUGCUAUAAGCACUCAUUUUAUGGCAUUGAGAGUCACAGGUGCAUGGAGGCCACUCCUAGUUUAGCAUGUGCAAACAAAUGUGUUUUUUGUUGGAGACAUCACACAAAUCCUGUUGGGAAGAGCUGGACAUGGAAGAUGGAUGAUCCUAUUGAGAUUGUGAACACAGCUAUAGAUUUGCAUACCAAAAUGAUAAAACAGAUGAAAGGCGUUCCAGGUGUUAAAGCUGAGCGUUUGUCUGAGGGUCUUUCUCCUAGGCAUUGUGCUUUGUCACUGGUUGGUGAGCCUAUUAUGUAUCCAGAAAUAAAUUCACUUGUAGAUGAGCUGCACAGGAGGCGGAUUUCGACUUUUCUUGUUACUAAUGCACAGUUCCCUGACAAGAUUAAGUUAUUGAAACCAAUCACACAGUUGUAUGUCAGCGUAGAUGCAGGUACAAAGGACAGCUUAAAAGCAAUUGACAGACCACUAUUUGGAGACUUCUGGGAGCGAUUUCUUGAUUCUUUGAGAGCUCUUAAGGAGAAGGAGCAAAGAACUGUCUAUCGUUUGACACUCGUUAAAGGGUGGAACACAGAAGAUGUGGAUGCAUAUUCUAGCCUAUUCAGCAUUGGGAAACCCGAUUUCAUUGAAAUCAAAGGUGUCACUUAUUGUGGAACGUCGGCUACAUCAAAGUUGACAAUGGAG